UACGUAGGGGGCAAGCGUUAUCCGGACUUACUGGGUGUAAAGGGAGCGUAGGUGGCAUGGUAAGCCAGAAGUGAAAACCCGGGGCUCAACCCCGCGGAUUGCUUUUGGAACUAUCAGGCUGGAGUGCUGGAGGGGUAAGCGGAAUUCCUAGUGUAGCGGUGAAAUGCGUAGAUAUUAGGAGGAACACCGGUGGCGAAGGCGGCUUACUGGACAGAAACUGACACUGAGGCUCGAAAGCGUGGGGAGCAAACAGG
rnacentral:rRNA from 1 species